GAGUGCCGCAACCCCAGAGUCGUCUGCAACUGGACCUAAUAGUCAGGGGUAAAAGUAAAGGGACCCCUGACCAUUAGGUCCAGUCGUGGCCGACUCUGGGGUUGCAGUGCUC